UGCAAGAUCACCAGAUCCCAACAGAUACA
rnacentral:piRNA from 1 species